rnacentral:rRNA from 1 species
UACGUAGGGUGCGAGCGUUGUCCGGAAUUACUGGGCGUAAAGAGCUCGUAGGUGGUUUGUCGCGUUGUUCGUGAAAUGCCACAGCUUAACUGUGGGCGUGCGGGCGAUACGGGCAGACUGGAGUACUGCAGGGGAGACUGGAAUUCCUGGUGUAGCGGUGAAAUGCGCAGAUAUCAGGAAGAACACCAAUGGCGAAGGCAGCUCUCUGGGACGGUACUGACGCUGAGACGCGAAAGCGUGGGGAGCGAACAGG